rnacentral:rRNA from 1 species
UUUAUUGGAGAGUUUGAUCCUGGCUCAGGAUGAACGCUGGCGGCGUGCCUAAUACAUGCAAGUCGAGCGAAUGGAUUAAGAGCUUGCUCUUAUGAAGUUAGCGGCGGACGGGUGAGUAACACGUGGGUAACCUGCCCAUAAGACUGGGAUAACUCCGGGAAACCGGGGCUAAUACCGGAUAAUAUUUUGAACCGCAUGGUUCGAAAUUGAAAGGCGGCUUCGGCUGUCACUUAUGGAUGGACCCGCGUCGCAUUAGCUAGUUGG